UAGAGUAAUCAAUAUGCGUUAAGUACUACAAAGAUGGAAAGUUGCUUGUAGGCGAAAAGUUCGAUGAACUUGCGGUGUAUUGGUGCGUUCGCUG
rnacentral:ncRNA from 1 species